rnacentral:piRNA from 1 species
UAACUACUGUUGCUGCUUCAUGUGGCGC